GGGGUCGUGGUACAGAUGGUAGCACGCUGGUUUUGCAUACCAGAGGUCAUGAGUUCGAUUCUCAUCGACUCCA
rnacentral:tRNA from 1 species